GUCUUCGUGGUGUAACGGUUAGCACACUCGGCGCGUAUUCGAGAGGUCCAGGUUCGAGUCCCGGUGAGGGCA
rnacentral:tRNA from 1 species